GACGAAGGAUGCAAGCGUUAUCCGGAUUCAUUGGGUUUAAAGGGUGCGUAGGCGGCCCUGUAAGUCAGUGGUGAAAGCUCUCCGCUUAACGGAGAAACUGCCAUUGAUACUGCAAGGCUUGAGUACAGAUGAUGUUGGCGGAAUAUGACAUGUAGCGGUGAAAUGCAUAGAUAUGUCAUAGAACACCGAUUGCGAAGGCAGCUGACAAAACUGUAACUGACGCUGAGGCACGAAAGUGUGGGGAUCAAACAGG
rnacentral:rRNA from 1 species